GUGAAAGUUUGAUUCUAGCUGGGCUGUUUACUUUUUCUUCGAGUCAUAUGCAGGAUAUCUAUUCAAAUUAGUGGUGCAGUGAUUGAUAUUAUUAUCUAUUUCUUAGGGGUAGCGAUUGAUAAGAUAGGGGGAUCAUUCUGUGCCAGCAUCCGCGGUCAUACAGUUUCCUAAAGUAAACGUUUUAGGGUAAUAGGGGAACUUUGAAACAAGAGUGUGUUACUUCAACAGGGGUGAAAUCUGCAUAUACCAUGAAUUUUUUGGUUAAAGUACCUUUUAGGUGGUCAAAUGACUAGGAUUAGAUACCCUAUUAGUCCACUCUUAAUUAACCUGGGUAGUAGUAUCGAAACCUAAAGAAUUUGGCGGUUUCUAAACCUACUAGAGGAACCUGCCCCAUAAACGACAAUCCACGAAAAAAUUCACCCGGGCUAGUUAUGCAGCUUAUAUACCGUCGUUUAGAGGACUAAAUAAAUAGAUCCUCUUAAAAGCUUAGGCUAAUAAAUCAGAUCAAGGUGUAGCUCAUGCCCGGGAGAGGGUGGGUUACAAUGAAAAUUCAUACGGAGCUUUUAUUUUAUGAUAGAAAAGAAGGCGGAUUUAGAAGUAAGACUUAAUAUACUGAAAAAGGCUCUCAGAAAUGUACACAUCGCCCGUCGCUCUCUUGUCCGAAGAGAUAAGUCGUAACAAAGUAGGUGGACCGGAAGGUCUAUCUCGAAAGA
rnacentral:rRNA from 1 species